UCAUGUUUGGUUCUAUCUCAGGUCUCUGGGU
rnacentral:piRNA from 1 species